ACCAGACCUAGCUCAAACACACCUACAAACAAAAACAUUACAAAUAACUAAAACAAAACAUUUAUUUAAAUAACUAAAGUAUAGGAGAUAGAAAUUUACACCUGAAGCUAUAGAGGAAGUACCGCAAGGGAAAGCUGAAAGAACCCCUAACAAGUAAAAAAAAGCAAAGAUUACCCCUUCUACCUUUUGCAUAAUGAUUUAACUAGAAACCAUCUGACAAAGGGAACUUUAGCCAGACACCCCGAAACCAGACGAGCUACCUAUGGGCAGUUUAAAAGAGCAAACUCGUCUAUGUGGCAAAAUAGUGAGAAGACCUGUAGGUAGAGGUGACAAGCCUAACGAGCCUGGUGAUAGCUGGUUGUCCAAGAAAGAAUAUCAGUUCAACCUUAAAAAUACCUCAAAAAACAACAAAUUCUAAUGUAUUUUUAAGAGCUAAUCUAAAAGGGUACAGCUUUUUAGAAACGGAUACAACCUUGACUAGAGAGUAAAAAACAAGAACUACCAUAGUGGGCCUAAAAGCAGCCAUCAAUUAAGAAAGCGUUCAAGCUCAACAAUAAAUCUUACAUAAUCCCAAAAACCAAUAAUCAACUCCUAGCCCAACACUGGACUAAUCUAUACCUUUAUAGAAGCAAUAAUGUUAAUAUGAGUAACAAGAAACACUUCUCCCUGCAUGAGCUUACAUCAGUAACUGAUAUUAUACUGAUGAUUAACAGCAAAUAAAUAUAAACACCACUAAAACAUUUAUAUAGCACACUGUUAACCCAACACAGGCAUGCAAACAAGGGAAAGAUUAAAAGAAGUAAAAGGAAUUCGGCAAACAUAAACCCCGCCUGUUUACCAAAAACAUCACCUCUAGCAUUACUAGUAUUAGAGGCACUGCCUGCCCAGUGACAUUAGUUCAACGGCCGCGGUAUCCUGACCGUGCAAAGGUAGCAUAAUCACUUGUUCUCUAAAUAAGGACUUGUAUGAAUGGCCACACGAGGGUUUUACUGUCUCUUACUUCCAAUCAGUGAAAUUGACCUUCCCGUGAAGAGGCGGGAAUACCAAAAUAAGACGAGAAGACCCUAUGGAGCUUCAAUUAACCAACCCAAACAAGCAUACUAUUUAACCACAAAGGGAUAGACAAAGUCCAACAAUGGGUUGACAAUUUCGGUUGGGGUGACCUCGGAGAACAAAAAAACCCCCGAGUGAUUUAAAUCUAGACUAACCAGUCAAAAAUAUUUCAUCAUUUAUUGAUCCAAAUUAUUUGAUCAACGGAACAAGUUACCCUAGGGAUAACAGCGCCAUCCUAUUCUAGAGUCCCUAUCGACAAUAGGGUUUACGACCUCGAUGUUGGAUCAGGAUAUCCCAAUGGUGCAGCCGCUAUUAAAGGUUCGUUUGUUCAACGAUUAAAAUCCUACGUGAUCUGAGUUCAGACCGGAGCAAUCCAGGUCGGUUUCUAUCUAUUAUGAGCUUCUCCCAGUACGAAAGGACAAGAGAAACCAGGCCAACUUUACAAAAGCGCCUCAGAGAAAAUUAAUGAUAUCAUCUCAACUUAACUAACUCACAACCAACUCAACCCUAGAACAGGGUCCA
rnacentral:rRNA from 1 species